rnacentral:rRNA from 1 species
GCAGGCUGCAACCCGCCUGCAUGAAGCCGGAAUCGCUAGUAAUCGCGGAUCAGAAUGCCGCGGUGAAUACGUUCCCGGGUCUUGUACACACCGCCCGUCACACCAUGGGAGCCGGGAAUGCCCGAAGUCAGUGGCCCCAAACCGGAAAGGGGGGGAGCUGCCGAAGGCAGGCCUGGUGACUGGGGUGAAGUCGUAACAAGGUACC